GAAAUCACAUGAGUCAUGCUUAAUCGUUGGUGAUUGUGAUAACGUAAGGGAAAAAAAUGAUAUUACCUUACUAUUAGUGUUGUCCAAAACUGGUGCCAGAAGACUCGGUAAGGCCAGAGACGCAAACGUUAGUCGUCCUAAUCAGGCGUAAAGGGUGUGUAGGCUGCUUUGAAAGUUAUAUUCUACAUAAAGCUCUUUUAACGUAGUAUCUUAAUAAAAAAAUUAUGAAUACUCGUUCUAAGGUAAAAUAUAAUAAAUUAAAGCUAGGAUCAAAUUGAGGAUAAGCCAAAUAAUACUUAGAGUAGGGAUUAAAUCCGCAGAUACUAAGGGGAAUACUAAAGGUGAAAGCUUUUUAUCUAUUAUUGAUUGACGCUGAGAAACGAAGGUGAGAAUAGGAAAUAGGAUUAGAUACCCAGAUACCUCUCACUGUCAACGAUGAAUGGUGGUUGUUAGUUUAAAUUAAAACUGGUAACGAUGUUAACACGAUAACCAUUCCGCCUUGCGAGUACGGUUGCAAAACUGAAACCAAAAAAAUUAGUCGGUCU
rnacentral:rRNA from 1 species